UUAAUAUUUGUUGGUUACAAAGUUAGAUUUGCCUCAAUUGGACUUAUUCUGUAUGAAAAGAAUCGUAUUAUCGACAUGAGGCGGCGCGACGAGCUAUUGACGAUGAAGACAGUCACGGGCAGUGUUAACAGUGCGAAACCAAUCUCCCUCGCCAAAGCAGCUACGCUUCUCUCCGGGUUCGUUUCCUCGGAGACCCAGGCCUCUCAAGACGUCAGCGCGUAUCUCCGACGCGCAUCUGCUGGCUUCGCCGAAUUGAAGAGCGUCCACAGAGAGAUUCGAUCGGCGAAUCCGAAGGAGGAGCUGGGUGGAGCUAAGGGGGUUGAUGAUGAUAAGAAGAAGAAAGAAGAAGAAGAGGUUGUUGAGGAGAUGGUGAUGGUGAAGUUGGAAGACGAGCAAAGGAACAAAGAGAGAAAGAAGAAGAAGAAGAGUAAAAAGGAAGAUGGUAUUGAUGAGAAUUUGGAAGAAGAGCAAAGGAAUGAAGAGAGAAAGGAGAAGAAGAAUCGGAAGAGCAAGAAAAAGAGGAAAUCGAAGGAGAGCGAUGAUGCUUGAAGCUGGUCCUUUUUUGGGGAUUUUAGCUCAAGCUGUUUGAGGUUGAGCUAGAGAACCAAGAGAUACUCCUGCGGUAUUCUUCUGCUCUGGUACAGGGAGCUACUAAUGUUUUUUGGAUAGACAUCCAGACAAACUUUCUUUCGGGUACUUACUUUUCCUCACAUGUAUCAUAGUCUAGUAUUCUUUUGUUGGAACUUUUUAGCUAUUUGAUUAGAGUUGUCGUAAAAUCUCGGACUUGGUUGUAAUUCUCUCCUAAUCCAUAAAAAUCCACCAGACGUUAAAAAA